AACGAACGUUGGCGGCAUGGAUUAGGCAUGCAAGUCGAACGAAUCCCGGGUAGCAAUACUUGGGGGAAGUGGCGAAAGGGGCAGUAAUACAUGGAUAACCUACCCUGGGGAUGGGCAUAGCCGUUCUAACGAGCGGGUAAUACCCAGAGAUUCGGCGGCGGUGGCAUCAUCGCUCCGGGAAAUGAGUUUCGCCUCGGGAGGGGUCCAUGCGAUAUCAGCUAGUUGGUGGGGUAACGGCCUACCAAGGCUUAGACGUCUAGCGGGUGUGAGAGCACGACCCGCGCCACUGGCACUGAGACACUGGCCAGACACCUACGGGUGGCUGCAGUCGAGGAUCUUCGUCAAUGGGCGCAAGCCUGAACGAGCGAUGCCGCGUGAGCGAUGAAGGCCUUCGGGUUGUAAAGCUCAAAAGGGGUGAGAAAGGGAAACUUGAUCGAGCCCCAGUAAGCUCGGGCUAAGUUCGUGC
rnacentral:rRNA from 1 species